GGAGACAUGGCUCAGUGGUUAAGAGUACUAACUGUUCUUUCAAAGGCCCUGGGUUCGAUUCCCAGUGGCUCAC
rnacentral:tRNA from 1 species